UACAGAGGUCCCAAGCGUUGUUCGGAUUCACUGGGCGUAAAGGGUGCGUAGGCGGUCGGAUAAGUCUGAUGUGAAAUCUUCGAGCUCAACUCGGAAACUGCAUCGGAAACUAUUCGGCUAGAGGAUUGGAGGGGAGACUGGAAUUCUCGGUGUAGCAGUGAAAUGCGUAGAUAUCUGAAAGAACACCAGUGGCGAAGGCGGUCAGCUGGUCCGUUACUGACACUAAAGCACGAAAGCGUGGGUAGCAAACAGG
rnacentral:rRNA from 1 species